rnacentral:lncRNA from 1 species
CCACAAUGAUCCAAGAACGUGGCAUUAAACUUUUCAGUAAAACAGGAUUCUGGAUGCCAUAAGAAUAAACAAAAUGACAUUUCUGCUGUUUCCUUAAGGAGGCUAUUCCUCAAAGACUUAACACUAACAAGUCCAAGUAGAAUUUUCCAGCUGGUAUGAAUGGAUCAUGGGGAAGCUGUUAUGAGAGCAGGGAAAUUCCAGAUAGGCAAUCACCACUGGAAUUUAAUAUUCUGGAAUUCCUGUACAUUUAGCCAGAGUAUGAACUUUCACUAAAAAAAAAAAGGAAAAAGAAAAAAAGCAUGCGAGACAGCCAGGUGGGAGCGGAUCCCCAGAAAAACUCCAACCGGCCUGCACACUGGGGUGGAACCUCAGGAAGUUCAUGCUGUUUGCAGCGGGGAGGAGCCUGGCCUCUCUUCUUUCUGUGUGGAACCUGGAAUUCAAGCUGUGGGUGAGAAGCUCUCUAGCAGGGACUCUGACCUUAUGGAGGAUCGCUGUUUCCCCCAUUUUUCCUUUUCACCCAAAAAAGUCCUGCUUCUCUCACCCUUCAAACAGCCUGUGAGCCUAAAUUUUUGUGGCCAUGGGACAGACAAGGACCCCGUCUUCAGCUGAACUAAGGAAAAGUCCUGCGACAUCUUUGGUACGCACUGUGGAGGCUCUACAAACAGCCAUCAAACUCCAACCAGUCACCCAACCAGAGCCUCUGAGGAUGGCCCCUUCUGCGGGGAACCCUUACAUGGGCCUCUGACUGAUGCUUCCCCAAAACAGUGCCCCCUGUCAUCAGGAAGCAGUUAACACUGGUCUUCAUUCUUACGCUUAUCCUUAUUCUAACAGCAGUUAUAUGUACUUCUUUAGACGGGGGAAUAAGACAGCCAGGUGGGAGGGGGUCUCUGGAAAACUCCAUCUGGCCUGUGCACUAGGGUGGAACCUCAGGAAGUUGAUGACAUUUGUAGCUGGGAGCAGCCUGGCCCCUCCUCUUCCUGUGUGGAACCUGAAAUUCCACCGGCUUGGCAGGAAGCGCUCUAGCAGGGACUCCGGCUUUGCAGAGCAUCCCUGUUUCCCCGUUUUUCCCUUUUCACCCAAUAAAACCCUGCUUCACUCACCCUUCAAACCAUCUGCAAGCCUAAAUUUUUGUGGCUGUGGGACGGACAAAGAUGCCUUUAGCUGACUGAGGAAAAGUCCUGCAACACAGGUAUCACUGCACAUUUAUAAUAUUGUUUCUCUGUUUUAAACCUUGUAUAAAUAGGAAAAUAUUGUAUAUAAUCUCAAGCAGAUUGUUUUCUUUUGAAAAGUAUUCAUAUAUGUUAAAGAUGUAGUUCUAGUUCAUUCAUUUUCUCUGUUUUGACUCUUUUAUACAUAUACUACAGCUCAUUUAUCCAUUUUCCUACUGUUGCAACAUAGAUUGCUUAUAAUUCUUCUAAUUACUAACAAUGCUGGUAUGAAAUUGUUGUGUAUAUCUCUGGUAGAUAUGUGUUAUUUCUUUUUUGCAAUGCUAGAUUAUAAUUAUUUGUCUAAGGUGGAGAUUACCAGGGUAGACUCGCUCUGGCCGUAUGUAAUGAUGUCUGUGGCUACAUAACCUGCCAACACUUAGUCUUAUCACACAUUUUAUUUUAAAAUCAAUAUGUAAAAAAUACUAAUUUACUUGGUAGUAAUUUAAAUUUUUCUGAUUAUUACUGAGGUUGAAUAUGUUUUCAUAUGUUUACUGAAUAUUCCUGUUAAUUUUCUCAUGAAUUUCAGUUAAUGUUUCUGUUGAUUUUAUUAAUUUGUAGUGGUUUUGAAACAUAUUCUAGAAACCAAUAUUUUGUCUGUUGUAUGUGUUACAAAUAUAUUUAUUUUGUAUAGCUUCUUCAUAUUUAGUACUUUUACAAUUUUAACAGUAAAAUUAGUUUCAUGUUUUAUAGCUAUAAUUAUUAUAACUUUUAAAUAAAUAUUUCCUCAAUUAAAAUAAAAAUGCAUUAUCCUUAAUUUUCUUCGAAGAUUUUUGAAAUGUGUAUGACUUUUUCAUUCUUGUGCUGGAUUUCUACCUGAAAAAUAUUUCUCCCUUCUGAGGUUCAGUACCUGUUUUUUGAUGUAAUGGUAUGAAAAAAGGCAUACUCACUGCGUUAGCUAGAGCUAAAUAUUUACUGACUAAUAGUGGUCUCUUUCCUGCUACACACACACACACACACACACACACACACACACACACACACCCCAUCAUCCUGGUAACUUCCUGAGAGUCUCUUUCUUGUUCAUUUCUCCUUCCAUACAGGAAGGGGAGGGGUUUGAAUCUAGAAUGCUGAUCUAUUUUUAACAAAUAGCCCUAACUCCUUCCUCUCCCAUACUUUAAAGCUGAGAGUUAGGAGAAGCAUCUUUAGCUUCCUUUAAGAAAACAACUUAUGAUUUCAAAUUUACAUUGUUCUAAAGUCUCCCAAUUUUCAUCCAACUCCUCCCUUUGAAAGAAAACCAGCUUUAUCUUCAAGAUGAAAUCUAAACCCCACCAGAGUCAACAGUACUGUUUUCUGUUUGUAAUUUUUUACCUCAAAUUGAUUCAGAAAUGUAAUGGAAGUUCCAACAUAGUCUUAAAGGUAGAAGGAAUGGGGAAGACAUGUCUACAUAAUUCUAAAUUUCUGGACAAAGAAGGACUUAAAGAUAAUUAACACACUUUGGAAAAUAAAAGCAAUAAUAAAUUUCUAAUACCAGAUAUUGAAUAUUUUAUUAAGCAGCAAUUAUCAAUACUGUAGAAAUGCUGCACAGACAAAAAUAAAAUAGAAAAAAAAUCCCAGAAACAAACACAAGUGUAUAAUCAAAUAAGAUUUUAGAAUAGUGAGAGGUAACCUCUUAUAAAUAUUGUAAUAAAAACAAUAGUUAUAAUGAUAUUGAAAAAAUAUUCCCUAGCUAAUGGCAGUCAAAUUAUUUCCAACGAAAUAACAGCAUUAAGAAUAGUGAAUCACAGGAUGGGUGUGGUGGCUCAUGUCUAUAAUCCCAGCAUUUUGGGAGGCCCAGGCAGAUGGAUCACUGGAACUCAGGAGUUCAAGACCAGGCUGGGCAACAUCGUGAAACCCUGUCUCUACAAAAAAUAGCUAAAUUAGGCAAGCGUGGUAGUGUGCACCUGGAGUCCCAGCUACCCAGAAGGCUGAAGCGUAAGGAUCACUUGAGCCUGGAAGGCAGAGGUUGCGGUUAGCCAAGAUCCCGCCACUGCACUCCAGGCUGGGCCACAGAGCCAGACCCUGUCUCAAAAAAAUAAAAAUAAAAAUAAAAAUGACUAGUGAAUCAAUUAUAUUACUCAAAUAUAAUUAUAAAUUUUUAAAGCUAUUUGAAUUGAAUAAAUUUUAAAGAAGAAAUGCAAAGGGAA